GACGAACGCUGGCGGCGUGCUUAACACAUGCAAGUCGAACGAAAAGAGGGAAAGAGCUUGCUCUUUCCGGAAUUGAGUGGCAAACGGGUGAGUAACACGUAAACAACCUGCCUUCAGGAUGGGGACAACAGACGGAAACGACUGCUAAUACCGAAUAAGUUCCAAGAGCCGCAUGGCCCAUGGAAGAAAAGGUGGCCUCUACCUGUAAGCUAUCGCCUGAAGAGGGGUUUGCGUCUGAUUAGCUGGUUGGAGGGGUAACGGCCCACCAAGGCGACGAUCAGUAGCCGGUCUGAGAGGAUGAACGGCCACACUGGAACUGAGACACGGUCCAGACUCCUACGGGAGGCAGCAGUGGGGAAUCUUCCGCAAUGGGCGAAAGCCUGACGGAGCAACGCCGCGUGAGUGAUGACGGCCUUCGGGUUGUAAAACUCUGUGAUCCGGGACGAAAAGGCAGAGUGCGAAGAACAAACUGCAUUGACGGUACCGGAAAAGCAAGCCACGGCUAACUACGU
rnacentral:rRNA from 1 species